GCGAAAAAAACCAGCAAUUUACAAUAGAAAAUCAACUAGUUGAACAAACAGCAGUUUCGGGCCAAAAUAAAAUCCUUGCUAACACUUAAAUUGAGACGCUCUGCGAGAUCCACGCCCUGCUCUAAAAGUUUAAAUAUUUGAAACCAUAUUUAAAUAUGAAUAACGCGAUGGGAGGAACAGGCAGACAUCUGGGCCAGGUCAAUUUGCAUUAUAAGAUUUGAAACGAAUCUAUCCUGUAAUGUUUUGAAAUCAAUAUUGUAUAAUAUAUUUAAAUUAUAAUA